UAUUCAAGGUGAAGGGCUAUCUAAAUAUAAAUCCAUACAAGUACUUUGAAGAUAUAAAUCUCUCGAACAGCUUUUAACAAAAAUAGUUUAUGUUCCCGAUGAAGAUGGUGAAAAAAUAAAAAAAACGGACCAUGAGAAGGUUUUGGUUAUAUUAUAAUGGGGAAAAAAAACUAAGAAGAAGAGAAGUUAAAAGAACGAUUUAUCAACGUAGACGUGGAACUAAUCCGUGAGUUGGAAUUAAUGAUGUGGAGAGAACAGCACAUAAGUGUUACGCGCACGUGGAUUCAUGCGACAAUAGUAAGAUCAUUGAUUGAACUUAAAGUUCUUUGAACUUUAAACACUCUCCAAUAUCUAAUAAUAGAUGUAAUAAUUAUAAACGCUUUACGAUAAAAUAAUUAAGAUGAAUGUUUAAGUAUACAUUUAAAUGAUUACAUAUUUAUGAAUCACAUAUUGUUCGGCCGUUGGACUUUUGAUUUUUUUAUUAUUUCCUGGUAUGUUUAUUUAUUUACAUGCUACGCUGAUUAAAGCCAAGUGUCUAGAUAAAACUCUAAUCAAUGAUAAAUUCAACUGGACUGUAUGCUGUGUACAUUGGCCAGCCGUUUAUAUACUACUGAUAUACUUUCCAUUUAAAUAUUUAAUACAAGCGAAUAAAAUUGUGUGGAUAAAUAAAAAAAUUUGAUACGCGAACAAGCUGAUCCGGUUUGCUGAUGUCUUACCAAGAAAAUAAUUUUAUUUGUAACGGCACAUUCAAUGUAUGUGACGGCAAAUUUAACAAUACUUUAAAUGACGGGUACGAUAAAAAAAGAUAUACAUGUAUAUAAGUAUACACUUCCGGUGGUACUUGAUCGAUCAACUCUCUUCUAGAUUCCGUAGAAUGAAAGUUCUCAGCACGUCGUACGGAUCUUCUUUAUAGGGUUGUUGCGCGUAUGGAACUUCGGUCACUAGUUCACGGGCACGAAUCAAUGCGCCGAAGCAUUUUCCAUUUCAAGUUCAUAUCUAUAAGAUAAUCCAUCUUUAUAGUUUUACAACACUGACGUUAUCCUGCAUCAUUUAAUCCAGCGAAUUAAGAAGACUAGUGAUGAUAAUUUAUAAAGAACAACAUCUUUGAUGAUGCCGAAGGUCAAAAAAAAAAUUUUAAUGACCUGGUAUAAAGUUUAAAAUAAAAGUCAAGUAACAAUAAUACGAGACUUAAGACUUUUGACUUAAAUUGUUAAAUAAAAGGAUCUUAUUUCAUAGAUCGCAAUAAAAUUUUUAGCAUAUAAAAGUAAACUGACAAGUAAAGAAAUAUCUUGUUGGCUUACACGUAAAAAAGAUCAGUGUCAUUUCAUUAAAUGCUGCGCUCUAAUUAGUCUACUGUAGCGUUGCUGUGACGUUUUACAUCUGACACUAAAUUACGUGCUAAUUGUCCUCGUGUUGAUGCUGAACAAGAUGAUGGAAAAAAUAUAUUACAGAGGAAGCCAAUCAAAUUGACGUUCACGUAUAGAUAAAAUUUGAAUUAAAAAUAAUAAUAAAUUUUGUCAACCUUCUUUUUUUGUAUAUUUGUUGACCUUCCGAGUCUUAUUGCGUAACAACUGUAUG